UACAGAGGGGGCAAGCGUUGUUCGGAAUUACUGGGCGUAAAGGGCGCGUAGGUGGCCUUCUAAGUUGAACGUGAAAUCCCCGGGCUCAACCCGGGAAGUGCACUCGAUACUGCGAAGCUCGAGUGUCGGAGAGGUUGGUGGAAUUCUCGGUGUAGAGGUGAAAUUCGUAGAUAUCGAGAGGAACACCGGUGGCGAAGGCGGCCAACUGGACGAGCACUGACGCUGAGACACGAAAGCGUGGGUAGCAAACAGG
rnacentral:rRNA from 1 species